UUUCCGCAUUGACAGUGACUUGGUUCCUGUGUGUCCAUAUGGCGUGUGGCUGUAGCGCAGUGGAUUGUGGGUAGGUCCUCGGGUCGGCCAUUAGCAGUGUUUCUCCGCGGCUGAAGGAGAGGACAGAGUCAUGACGGGAUUCAGAGGUUUCGCUCAUCUCUCCACUCCUACAACGGAGGCAGAGUGGAGAGAGGUGGCAAUGGGAUUUGAAAACAAGUGGCAAUUUCCUAAUUGCUUAGGAGCCAUAGAUGGAAAGCACAUCUACAUCCAGCCACCUGCAAACUCUGGAAGUACUUACCACAACUACAAGUCCAGAUUUUCUGUUGUAAACGACGCAGAUCACAGAUUUAUUUAUGCUAAUGUUGGCGUACAAGGAAGAGAGGUCUGCUGAGCCAGAGCCACUACCAGGGAGCAACACAUCUUAUGCAUUUGUUGGUGAUGAAGCUUUCCCUGUCCGAAUCGACCUGACGAAGCCAUACCCCUUCCGAAAUACGGAUCAUGGGCAGCGAAUGUUCAACUACAGGCUGUCAGGGGAAAG